UACGAAGGGGGCUAGCGUUGCUCGGAAUCACUGGGCGUAAAGCGCACGUAGGCGGAUCUUUAAGUCAGGGGUGAAAUCCUGGAGCUCAACUCCAGAACUGCCUUUGAUACUGGGGAUCUCGAGUCCGGAAGAGGUGAGUGGAACUCCGAGUGUAGAGGUGAAAUUCGUAGAUAUUCGGAAGAACACCAGUGGCGAAGGCGGCUCACUGGUCCGGUACUGACGCUGAGGAGCGAAAGCGUGGGGAGCGAACCGG
rnacentral:rRNA from 1 species